rnacentral:lncRNA from 1 species
CAUGUGGUGAUCCGAGGAAGCCGCUGAGUCCCUACAAGCCAAACGCUCAAAGAAGCAGGCUGAAAACAGGCGAGUUCGUUCCGCCUCCACCAAAUUAUUCGCAAAUCAGGUUUGGAAAAAAGCAGAAGUUCCUAACCACGAACCAAAGCACGUACAGGGGCUUCCAGGGUACGGCUUUCUCUACGGAGCUUCAUAUGCACAUGUCCAAGAUGUACACACGCAUCCGCAUAUAUACGUAUAUACACGCCUCCUAGGGAAACAAUUUGGACGGGGGAAAAACAAUGUGCAAACUGGACCUGAUUCUUCAGGGGGAUGUUUCUGUUUAGGCAUUCAAUCAACAAAUCAAGGCAUUGCAGCAGAGAAGACUCGCGUCUACCACUACUUCCAAGGCUUGUGAAAGAGUGGCUAACUCGAAAAAGCGGAGCUCUGUGCCUAGGCGUCGUCCCGUACUUCGCUUCCAAGUGUCUCCACAUGACCCAGUGCGAUGUAUAGAGAAGGACAAGUUGGCAACAAGGAAACUGUUGGAGUGUCUUAUUGUUUUCAGAUAGGCCCUUGUGACGCAACGCAGAUGUUCACCUUAACAGCAGUUCCCCAGCGAUGCACACAAGCGCUCUUUGUGCCAUCGCAUCGAAUCGCAAAAUCGUUUCAAAAACCGUUCAAUUAGCACAAAAAACGCGUGUGUAUAUUUUCUGUUGCGAAACACAUGCAGGACAAGCGUCUGAAAGACGCUACAUUCCUGCAGGACAGCCCUGGCAUUUGGUUGUGUGUCGCCAGGAACCCUCUUUUCGACUGAGGGUCAUGCACUGUAGCGCGAAACUCUCGACCCGUAACACUGUAUACUGCGUUUCCGGCAGAUUUCACAGCUUCUCCGAUGUUGGGAGACGCAGUGCCCACCUUUUUCAUCCAUCAAAUCUCAUGCACACGCAUGCCUGUGUCGGCGUACAUAUAAAUGAUCGUGAGCUGCCUCACACAAAACAGUGAUAGCAUCCCUGAAACUGUCUCAGUUAGAC